rnacentral:rRNA from 1 species
GACGAACGCUGGCGGCGUGCCUAAUACAUGCAAGUCGAGCGAAGAGUUUCUGGUUUUUGCGCCGGAAAGACUUAGCGGCGAACGGGUGAGUAACACGUAAAGUACCUGCCUUAUAGACUGGGACAACUAUAGGAAACGAUAACAAAUACCGGAUAACAGCAUUGACUGCAUGGGUGAUGUUUGAUAGUUGGUUUUGCUAACACCAUGAGAUGGCUUUGCGGUGCAUUAGCUGGUUGGUGGGGUAAAGGCUUACCAGGGCGACGAUUCAUAGCCGACCUGAGAGGGUGAUCGGCCACACUGGGACUGAGACACGGCCCAGACUCCUACGGUAGGCAGCAGUAGGGAAUCUUCCGCAAUGGGCGAAAGCCUGGCGGAGCAGCGCCGCGUGAGUGAAGAAGGAUCUCGGUUCGUAAAGCUCUGUUGUUAGGGAAGAAUGAGUGUGUAGUAACAAGACACAGUAGAGACGGUACCUAAUCAGAAAGCCACGGCUAACUACGUG